rnacentral:rRNA from 1 species
CCUACGGGUGGCUGCAGUGGGGAAUAUUGCACAAUGGGGGAAACCCUGAUGCAGCGACGCCGCGUGAGUGAAGAAGUAUUUCGGUAUGUAAAGCUCUAUCAGCAGGGAAGAAAAAAUACGGUACCAGACUAAGAAGCCCCGGCUAACUACGUGCCAGCAGCCGCGGUAAUACGUAGGGGGCAAGCGUUAUCCGGAAUUACUGGGUGUAAAGGGUGCGUAGGUGGCAUGGUAAGUCAGAAGUGAAAGCCCGGGGCUUAACCCCGGGACUGCUGUUGAAACUGUCAUGAUUGAGUGCAGGAGAGGUAAGCGGAAUUCCUAGUGUAGCGGUGAAAUGCGUAGAUAUCUGGAGGAACAUCAGUGGCGAAGGCGACUAUCUGGCACAUAACUGACGCUGAGGAGCGAAAGCGUGGGUAGCAAACAGGAUUAGAUACCCGUGUAGUC